UACCAGCACCCCGAGUGGUCGGGACGUUUAUUGGGCCUAAAGCAUCCGUAGCCGGUUCUACAAGUCUUCCGUUAAAUCCACCUGCUUAACAGAUGGGCUGCGGAAGAUACUAUGGAGCUAGGAGGCGGGAGAGGCAAGCGGUACUCGAUGGGUAGGGGUAAAAUCCGUUGAUCCAUUGAAGACCACCAGUGGCGAAGGCGGCUUGCCAGAACGCGCUCGACGGUGAGGGACGAAAGCCGGGGGAGCAAACCGG
rnacentral:rRNA from 1 species